GUCGGCGAUAGCUCAGUGGGUAAACCGCCAGAUGAGAAGAUGGCGAUUACUCCGACAGCUAUUAUCCGCGCGGGUUCGAAUCCCGCUUGUGGCA
rnacentral:tRNA from 1 species